UUUGAUCCUGGCUCACAUUGAACGCUGGCGGCUUGCUUAACACAUGCAAGUCGAACGAAAAAGUACCUUCGGGUGCGAGUAAAGUGGCGGACGGGUGAGUAACGCGUGGGAAUCUGCCUAGUAGUGGGGGACAACAAUCGGAAACGGUUGCUAAUACCGCAUACGCCCUACGGGGGAAAGGCUUCGGCCGCUAUUAGAUGAGCCCGCGUAACAUUAGCUUGUUGGUGGGGUAAUGGCCUACCAAGGCGACGAUCUUUAGCUGGUCUGAUAGGACGAUCACCCACACUGGGACUGAGACACGGCCCAUACUCCUACGGGAAGCAGCAGUGGGGAAUAUUGGACAAUGGGCGAAAGCCUGAUCCAGCAAUGCCGCGUGUGUGAAGAAGGCCUGCGGGUUGUAAAGCACUUUCUCUAGGGAAGAUAAUGACGGUACCUACAAAAGAAGCACCGGCUAACUCCGUGCCAGCAGCCGCGGUAAUA
rnacentral:rRNA from 1 species